AUAACAACCCCUUCGAGCUACCAUUUUGUGUGGCUACGGUGUUGGGGCUCGCCGAAUCGGCGACCCUUAAAGACAGUGGCGGUACCGAUGUCGGCUUUACGCGUAGUAAAUAGCUCGCGACAGAGCGGCGACGGCGACUAGCCAAACAAAAAACCACACUCGUGGACUUUCAUGG
rnacentral:misc_RNA from 1 species